AAUAGGACCAAUUUUAUAGGUAUAAAUUUUAUAGGGUUAUAUGAGAAAUUUUUUUUGAAGGGCUAAAUAUAAAAAAAAACCUCUAAAGAUGGAACUUUUUACAAAAUAACUCUCUAAAAUUUUGAUAUUUUCAAAAUAAUUAUGUCAAAAUUAUAUUUAGAAAACUAACUCUCCUUUUGCUAUGUAGUAGACAGGUUGGAAUUUUCUCUUAAAGACGGUGAAUGGUGAAUGGUGAAUUAUUCAUCGCCUUCCUAAUUUCUCACAAAGCGAUGAAUUAUUCACCAUUUUUAAAUUAUAUACUGUUUCUUUUUAUAUUUCAUAUAUAAUCCUAACAACCAUAUAAAUAUUUUAAUAAAUUAUAUAUAAUAUUAACAACAUGAAAAUUCUAAUAAUCUAUUCAUAUAAUACUAACAAUAAAAAAAAUUCAUAAUAAUCUAUCCAUAUAAU
rnacentral:lncRNA from 1 species